AUACCUUUCUCGGCCUUUCGGCUAAGAUCAAUUGUACUAUCUGUUUUUAUCAGUUUAAUAUCUGAUAUAUGGGCCAUUGGCCCAUAAUAAUAUUAAAUUUAUUUGUUUCAGGGGAGAGGCCCAUCUCAGUAGCUUGCUGCUUCGGUCCUUGAGCGUCACCCGGGGCUUUGCAGUACUCUGCCUGGGCCUGCGCACCACAC